rnacentral:rRNA from 1 species
UACGGAGGGAGCUAGCGUUGUUCGGAAUUACUGGGCGUAAAGCGCGCGUAGGCGGCUUUGUAAGUUAGAGGUGAAAGCCCGGGGCUCAACCCCGGAACUGCCUUUAAGACUGCAUCGCUUGAAUCCGGGAGAGGUGAGUGGAAUUCCGAGUGUAGAGGUGAAAUUCGUAGAUAUUCGGAAGAACACCAGUGGCGAAGGCGGCUCACUGGUCCGGUACUGACGCUGAGGUGCGAAAGCGUGGGGAGCAAACAGG